GCCGUUGACAGCGAUACUCGAAACGUUUAUCGACAAAGAAGCCGCUCGCACGAUCAAAUUUGUCUCAAAGUAUAGUGUCAGCUGCUGUACGUCGUACACACCAGUAGAGGCGCAAAUUGGUUUUUGAUAGCAAAAAGAGCUGAUUUCAGAAAUGAGUUUAUCCGUUGACAACUGCAAAGUAGUGUACUUUUCUCUGGUGUUCUUGGAUAACGAGAUUGUGAAUUUGACAGCUAAAGUGAAAGAAGGAAAGACUUUGGUAAUUUGGGUCAAGCCGUCAAAUCCAGAAGCAUUGUCGGCGUACUGCAAAAAUCAAGGAGAGAUAUUUACAGGUUCCGAAAUUAUUCGUGGAAACACGAGAA